rnacentral:rRNA from 1 species
UACGUAGGGGGCGAGCGUUGUCCGGAUUUAUUGGGCGUAAAGAGCUCGUAGGCGGUUUGGUAAGUCAGGUGUGAAAUCUCCACGCUCAACGUGGAGGGGCCACCUGAUACUGCCAUGACUGGAGUCCGGUAGAGGAGUGUGGAAUUCCCGGUGUAGCGGUGAAAUGCGCAGAUAUCAGGAGGAACACCGGUGGCGAAGGCGGAUCUCUGGGCCUUACCUGACGCUGAGGCGCGAAAGCUAGGGGAGCAAACAGG